rnacentral:rRNA from 1 species
UACGUAGGUGGAGAGCGUUAUCCGGAAUUAUUGGGCGUAAAGAGCGCGCAGGUGGUUGAUUAAGUCUGAUGUGAAAGCCCACGGCUUAACCGUGGAGGGUCAUUGGAAACUGGUCGACUUGAGUGCAGAAGAGGGAAGUGGAAUUCCAUGUGUAGCGGUGAAAUGCGUAGAGAUAUGGAGGAACACCAGUGGCGAAGGCGACUUACUGGACUGUAACUGACGCUGAGUCACGAAAGCGUGGGGAGCAAACAGGAUUAGAUA